rnacentral:rRNA from 1 species
AUUGAACGCUGGCGGCAGGCCUAACACAUGCAAGUCGAACGAGUGGCGGACGGGUGAGUAAUGUCUGGGAAACUGCCCGAUGGAGGGGGAUAACUCCUGGAAACGGUAGCUAAUACCGCAUACCAUCGGAUGUUCCCAGAUGGGAUUAGCUAGUAGGUGGGGUAACGGAUCACCUAGUCGACGAUCCCUAGCUGGUCUGAGAGGAUGACCAGCGACACGGGAACGGAGACACGGGCCAGACUCCGACGGGAGGCAGCAGUGGGGAAUAUUGCACAAUGGGCGGAAGCCUGAGGCAGCCAUGCCGCGUGUAUGAAGAAGGCCUUCGGGUUGUAAAGUACUUUAAGCGGGGAGGCGUUACUAGCAGAAGAAGCACCGGCUAACUCCGUGCCAGCAGCCGCGGUAAUAC